rnacentral:rRNA from 1 species
UACAGAGGUCCCAAGCGUUGUUCGGAUUCAUUGGGCGUAAAGGGUGCGUAGGUGGCGGGGUAAGUCAGGUGUGAAAUCUCGGAGCUCAACUCCGAAACUGCACUUGAUACUGCCUUGCUUGAGUACUGGAGAGGAGAUUGGAAUUUACGGUGUAGCAGUGAAAUGCGUAGAUAUCGUAAGGAAGACCAGUGGCGAAGGCGAAUCUCUGGACAGUUACUGACACUGAGGCACGAAGGCCAGGGGAGCAAACGGG